rnacentral:siRNA from 1 species
CAUAUAAUGGCGAUGUCCCGAU